rnacentral:piRNA from 1 species
UGGCAUCAAUGUCUGACUUCAGUUUGAUUC